rnacentral:rRNA from 1 species
AGCGAACGCUGGCGGCGUGCCUAACACAUGCAAGUCGAGCGAGAAAGGGGUGGCAACACCCUGAGUAAAGCGGCGAACGGGUGAGUAACGCGUGGGCAAUCUACCUUCCAGUCUGGGAUAACCUUCCGAAAGGAGGGCUAAUACCGGAUGAUGUCCUGUUGGGGCAUCCUGAGGGGAGCAAAGGGGGCGACCCGCAAGGGGCUCUCGCUGGAGGAGGAGCCUGCGUCCGAUUAGCAGGUUGGUGGGGUAACGGCUCACCAAGGCGACGAUCGGUAGCCGGCCUGAGAGGGUGACCGGCCACACUGGGACUGAGACACGGCCCAGACUCCUAUGGGAGGCAGCAGUGGGGAAUCUUGCGCAAUGGGCGAAAGCCUGACGCAGCGACGCCGCGUGGGGGACGAAGGCCUUC